UCCCUUACAAUUGUCACAUCUGUGAACAUGUGAAUUUGAACAUGCGUGACGUGAAAAAAGAAACGCUUGAUAAAGAGUUCACCUGAACCUGUUCCUAUCAUUGAAUGUGAAAGGGAGAUCAAGAGUUGGCUACAACAUACCAGUGUAGUGCAUCUGAGUGAAAAGACAAGCUACAGAGUGGGAAAAAUCUUUGGCAGGUGUUCUACAAAGAAAUGCUUUCUGAAAUGUAGAGAAAACCGAAGGCAUUCGACAUUAAAAAACCCCAUGCAACCGUCAGUGAAUGGUCCGAUGAGCUAAACAGAGAACCCUCAAAGGAUGGCAUGCAAAUGGCUUGUGAAUACUCAGAAAAGCGCUCAACGUCUUUACUCAUUAGGAAAAUGCAAUAAACUAAGAUUCUAGGUUGGUCCAGUCAGGAUGGUUAUCACCCAGAAAACAAAUGCUAACAAAUGCUGGCAAGAAUGUGGAGAAACAGGAAUCUUUAGCAUUUACUGAAAAGAUGUGGGAGAAGCUUCGAUGCUAAUAGUUUGGAUGGAAAGGACAUCGCGGGCAGACGGUGUGCGCAUGCGCAGCUGACUUGCCUCCAGCAGCCAGCUGAGGAUCUCUUUCCUGGAGGAGUUUCAUUUUCUUGGCUUAUUCUGGAGUCAGUCCCAGCUUAUACGGAUUCCUUGCUAAGAGUCCCAGAAACAGCCGCCAGCUUUAAACACCGACCUAGUGCUUACAGUCUUUCAUCACCAGCAGCAUUUGCUUUUCCAGGUCUUUUAAAACUCCCCUGUGUCAUAAAGCAAUCGAGAAAACAUUAUUUUCAGAAGGAGGUCACACCGAGCCUCCUACCAUCCUGUCUUGGGAGGAAGACAUGUCUUUUUUAUUGGUUAGAGUCUUGGUUUCUUUUCUUAUCUACACAAAAAGGAAUCCUGACCCCCUUGUCUCACCCACAGGAGGUCUUCAUAAACGCUCUGACCAAACGCUGAAAACAAGCGGGCACUUCUGCUAGAUGCGGCAGGCGGCCUCACAUCGAGCCUUGGGAUUUCCUUGUGUCGGGCACUGCUGACAGCUGACAAACUGCUGUGUGAGGGGGGACUCUUGGCCUUGCAAAAUUCCUGAGCCCACCAGGUUAAAAAAAAG